rnacentral:rRNA from 1 species
AUUGAACGCUGGCGGCAUGCCUAACACAUGCAAGUCGAACGGGGGCAGCAAUGCCCUAGUGGCGGACGGGUGAGGAAUACGUAGGAACCGGCCCACGAGUGGGGGACAACCUGGGGAAACCCAGGCUAAUACCGCAUACGCUCGCGAGAGGAAAGCGGGGGGACCUUCGGGCCUCGCGCUGGUGGACGGGCCUACGUCCGAUUAGCUAGUUGGUGGGGUAAAAGCCUACCAAGGCGACGAUCGGUAGCUGGUCUGAGAGGAUGAUCAGCCACACUGGGACUGAGACACGGCCCAGACUCCUACGGGAGGCAGCAGUGGGGAAUAUUGGACAAUGGGCGCAAGCCUGAUCCAGCAAUGCCGCGUGGGUGAAGAAGGCCUGCGGGUUGUAAAGCCCUUUAAGCGGGAGGAAAGCCGGGGUGUGAAUAGCGCCUCGGGUGACGUUACCGCAGAAUAAGCAACCGGCUAAACUCCGUGCCAGCAGCCGCGGUAAU